rnacentral:lncRNA from 1 species
UGGGAAUAGAUCCAGAAAAUUUGUUUACUCCUAGAAUAAGAUAUUUUAAAUGUUCAAAUUCACCUAACCAAUCUGGAAGGGGUCCAUCAAAGUUAUUGUCUUCCAAGUCCAAAAUUUCUAGUUCUCGGAGAUUUAACAAUGCCUUAGGUAGAUGUCCUAUUAAAGAACUUGAGCUAAGGUCUAAAUCAUAGAUAUUGGAACUAAGAUUGAAUAGCCACUUAGGUAACUCUGAGUCAAAUUCAUUCGCAGAAAGAUCAAGAACUUUGAGUGCAGUAAAAUUAGCAUAGUUAAGAGACAAACUCAAGUCUUUAAGUUGACAAGCACGCAUUUUGAGGAAUGAAAGUGAUGGAAGCAUAGUCACUAGUUGAAGCCAAUUAGUUUCUUUGCUAAGAUCAAUAUCACGGAGGUUGAGAUAUUCCAAGGAGGAAAUAUAGGGAAGCCAUUGAAGGUUGCUGAUGGCAAGAUUCCUGUUAAGUGAUAAAUCAAGAUGACCAAGAGUUGAAGAGUUGACACACUGACGAGGAGAAGGAACUAUGGAUAGAUUAUGAGAAUUAUGAUUAUGCACAUAAUCAAAUUGUAAUGCUAAGAAGUCAUUGUUUCUCAAAUCCAAGUAAUCUAGAAAUUGCAACUCCACUAAUAACAAGGAUAGGUGAAUGGAACCUGUAAGGCAAUAUGAUUUAUCUUCUUCGUCCCUGUAAGAUGAAAGAGUUGUAGCACACCGAAUACUGAUUCCAGUGACUCUACUGGUGAUGUUAUUACACAUGACUCCUUUCCAUUGACAGCAAUCUAGUUUAGUGGACCAUGAAGAAAGGACACCUGAUGGAUCUAUGAUUCCUUGUUUGAAGUUUAAGAGAGCAUGCAUGUCCUUUUGGUUGCAGUGAAUACUGAAGCUGCAUAAGCGAGUGUUGAAUAUGAUUCCGCAUAGCAACCACGAAACAAUGAUUGCCUUUUGAGAUGGAAGUGUAGUCAUGAUUGCAAGACAAAUGGAGGGGUAAGCUAGAAUGGAUGAUUUCAAAGUAAAGGAGAGAAACUAUACUUAUAGUGAUUGGAGUCCUAAAAGUUUCAUAUUAUUAAGAGUAUUACGUAUACAUAUUCUUUAAUAAUUCAAGAUACUUUUUAAAAGUAAAACCAUAAUGAUAAUAUUGAAUUUUCAAAUAAAUAAUUGUUAUUUUUAAUUCAAAAUAAUGAUGCUUUUAGUUAAUGUAAAAGAUUAUUUUUUAAAUAAAUAAUGUAAAUUUUGCUUUCGGUUCAUGUAAAAGAUUAUUUUUAUGUGUUAAAUCAAAUAAAUAAAUAAACAAGGAUACGCAUUCAUGUGUUAAAUCGGGUCACAAUAUUUUUCACAACAAAAGAAAAAGAAAAAGUGAGCAAGUGAAGCAGAUAAAUUAUUUACAGUAAUUUAAAAACGAGCUCUUUCAAAUACAAAUAUUUGUGUGUGGAGGUUAAAUAAGGACAUAAUUGGUGUAAAAGGAAAUAUGAAAAAAGAGAGAGAUUCCGAUAACAUUAAAUCAAUGUCACUUAUGUCACUUAUGCUAGUAAGAUGUGGACGUGGAACCUAUCCUAUAAGUGGAUAAGAAUUAAAAUAGCCUCAUUUAAAAUUUCACUGGGUUUUGGUCUAAAAUUAUUGGGUGCAGGAAGCAGUGGCCCUCUUGAAAGUCUAGGCCCAUUUGUCUGGACAAGGGUUUUCACUAUUUGCACUUGCGCCUUUUAUAUCCGCAUCACCAUUUUCUAAAAUGCGUAGGCCUAUUAAGCUGGGCCAGUAUUUCCACUAUUUGCACCAGUCUUUUAUUCAUAACCUGCCAGUUAUUAUUUGUUACUAUUUUUAGAAAAAAGCCUUCGACUAUUUAGCUAGUUCAACAGUUUUACUAUUUGCCACCUAAUUAUUUUACAUACACCAUCAUCAACAGUUUUUUUUUAAAAGAAAGAAAUCAAUACAAAUAAAAAAAUAUAUUAAAAAUAUAAUUUUUUACAUUAUCUUCUACUCAAUAUUUUUUUUUUAAAAAAUUAUGAUUUUCUUAAUAAGAUUCACUCAAAGAGUAAAUAGUAUUAUAUAAUUUACAAUAUUUCUCUACUUACUUUAUGAUUUAUAUAUAAUAUUAAAUAUAAUCGUCAACACUCUCUUAUACUCUAACUUGCGUGAAUCAUAAAAAUCAAUAAAGUCAUGCUUCUUAUCUACUUAAAAAAACAAAUUUAGCAUUGCAAACAUUAGAAUAUUAUAUUAUGUUUAUAGACAUGUUAUGGCAAUGAAAUGAGAAAUAUUUUGUUAUAAUUUAAAACCAGAAAUAUCAUAUCAUAUUUAAAGUCAUGCUUGUGAAGUAGAGAAUAAAUUGUUUUAAUGUUUUGAUAAAAGGUGGAUGAAUUAGUUCAUCUAAAAAUAAGUGUAAAUUCAUUAAAUAAUCUUAGUCAUAGAUGAUUUUUUUUUUAUCAUGAUGGGUAUUACAAUAAAUUAUGAUUUAGGAUAUAUGAGUAUGCAUUAUAGAUUGUCAAAUUUUAAUUAAUGACUAAGGUUUAUUAUUUUAUCUUUUAGUUUUUAAUUCUUAAUUUAAAGUAGAAGAGAUCCUUAAUUUCUUUUUACUAGUCAUUUCAAUUUUAUAAAAACAAUUAAUUAUUAAAUUAUUUUUAGUAUUUAUUGGUUUAUUUUUUAAUUUUUUAUGUAGUUCAAUUAAAAAAAAACUUAACAUUUUGAAGUAAAUAAUAUUUUAUUAUAUAGUACUACAUCAAAAUUAAAAUUGCAAAAGAUAAAUUCAAUGUAACAGUAGUUCAAAUUAAUUAAGAAAUAAAAAUAAAUAAAUUUGAUUAAUAUUAAUUACAUUAACCCAUUUAAAUAAGAUGACUUAUCCAAAUAGAAAAGGCCUAUAAAACUUUAAAAAUAAAUAAAUAGAGGUACUAAAACGUUCAAUAAAAAUAAUUAUUUUAAAAAUUAUGAUUAUAAUUAUAUAUAAAAAUAUAUUUUUGUCAAAAGAAUACAAAUUUCAUUAAUAUAAUAAAACUUAAUUAUAGUUGUGUUAUUUUAUAUAAUUUUACAUGUACCAACUUAAUUAGUUAUUCAUUUACUUUAUCAAAUAACAUUCAAUAAACCAAUUUAUAAGCUUAGAACUUUACUUAACUUAUAAAAUAGAAACUAACUUAUUAACUAAUGUUUCUAAAGAGAAUCUAACCCUAACCAUAAUACUAUCACAUUACUUUCUACGAACAUUUUAAAAAUCACUACUAACUAAUGCUACGAAUAUUUAGUGUAAAGUUAACGUGAAAUGAUCUAGCUAUAUAAAAGAUACAACUUAAAUGCUAUAAAGAUCAACACUCUUUGCAUAAUACAUAAUAAAUGAAAAAGAAAAGUUAAAAUUCAAAAUCAUGACACAACUUAAAAAGAAAAAACAAAAUACACCAAUUAUUACUAAUCAAAUAUUAAGUUCAUCACUGUUGGCAUUGUUUGCAGUUUUAUCAUACGAAUUACACCAUCACGUUCUCUUCUUCUACGUUUGAUUCCCUUUUGAAGAAUGGAAAAUGCCUAAGAUAUAAGAUAACAAAAGUUUUUUUAUUAGAAUAAAUAAAUUAAUGGAAAAUGUUCAUUAUCAUAUAAUUUUGCAACUUAAUAUUUUUAAUACAUCACAAAACAUCAAUUAAUUAUAAAGUAUUUUCACUUUUUUUUUAAUUGCUUCUCAUCAAACUCAUAAAACAUCCUUAUAUUUGAUAUUUUUCACUUUACGAUGUAAGAAUUUGUUGGAUCUACUUAAAAAAAGAAAACAUUGUUAAAAUAUAAAUAUUAUUAAGACAGUCUAAGAUUUGUAGUCAAUCAGUUUGUCCCAAUUUUAAUGUCCAUUUUAUCCAGACUCAAUUUUAAUAAAUAAAAAGUAAAACUAGACGAAUUAAAGCAAAUUGAUGUACUUUGUCACUAUACUUUGAUAAGUUACAAGAAUAAUAAAAUCUAUAUUUAUAUAUGCUUUUAAAAAAGUCACUUAAGUUAAGGCACAAGUAUGACAUAUGUAUAAGUUGAGAAAACUCAUUUAUGUACUACAAUCAAUUUAUUUAUAUUUAUAUAUGUUUUAAAUAAAUGGAAUAUAAAUAUUAGUGUAAUUCAAACCAUACAUAAAGAAUUAAAAGAUAAAAGUUAAAGAAUUAAAGUAUAUUUUUGUAAUUAUGAAAGAAAGAGUAGGGAAAGAUAAACUAAAGUGAUAUUUUAACAAAAGGUUUUCACUUACCAGUAUUUGUAUGCAACUUGUUUGAGCUUAACGGAAGGGAUUCAUGUUGACAACCACCAAGACACGAAGUCGAUCUCUCAAGUCAUUAAGAAACUUGAAGUAAGCAUGUCUUAGUUUUGUGUUGAAGAAAACGGCACAACAAACUCCCAAAAAGCCCGUUACAAAUCCAUAUUCUAUUCCGAUGUAAAACCAUGGCCAAAAUUCAUAUUGAUUUCCAUCUUCCCCAACAAGCUUUGUGUCUUUAUGUUUAUCAUCCUGAAAGCACAUUUUGGUAAGUGGGGGUCCACAAAGAUCACUGUUGCCCAUAUAACUAAAAGCAGUGAAUCCUUGAAGUUGUGUGCCUGAUGGUAUUUUGCCUCUCAAAUUGUUGAAUGAAAUAUUCAAGUAAGCCAAAAAGGACAAACUGGAUAAGCUCUGAGGAAUUUCACCCCCAAGUUGGUUUUUUGAAAAAUCAAGAGACUCUAAGUUUUUCAUAUUUCCUAUCUCAUUUAGUAUUUUUCCUGAUAAAUUAUUGUUGGAUAAGUUCAAGGAAGACAAUCCCAUAAGACUAAACAUUUGUGGAGGUAUUGUUCCAGACAAAUUGUUACUUGACAUAUCAAUUAGGGUCAUAAAGUGUAGGUUUCGGUCAUAUUUUGAUACUCGACCUUUAGUAACCAAUUCAAGAUUGUCACUUUCAUAGAUGUAAGCAUUACGAGAUGUAGGAAAGGAAAAAGAAAGUUUGUUUUUAGAAACAUUGUUGAAAAGUAGGGUUUUGAUAUUAGGAAGACAAUUGGGUAUAUGACCAGAGAUUGUGUUAUGUGCAAUAUCCAAUAUAAUGAGGGAAGACAUUUGGCAUAUUUGUGGAGGGAUUUUACCACUAAAAUGAUUGGACCUUAAUUGGAGAGCCAUUACCCUGUGAGAUAUCCAAUCUGGUAUGUUUCCUGAUAAGUGGUUAUUGCGAACAUUAAAGACCAGUAGAGAGCGACAAUUUUGCAAUGAGGGAGGAAUCUCUCCAUUUAGCUUAUUCUCAUGCAAAUGGAGUGAGGUGAGGUUAGAUAGAAAGCCCAUUGAUGAGGGUAUCUUACCUGAUAGAUUAUUGCUUCCCAAGUGAAUAGCAACCAAAGAUUUCCAAUUCUUCCAACAAUUCGUAAGCCCUCCAGAUAGAUUAUUCAAUGAUAUGUCCAAGAACAACAGACUGUUUUUCCCAUUCAACAUCUUAUUAUCACAUAAUAGGGGAGACACGUCUCCUGAUAAUGAAUUAUUUGAUAAGUUGACAAAGACAACGUUUGGUGAUAAUUGAGGCAAGGAACCUUUCAAACCAUUCGAUGAGAGAUCAAUGAUUGUAGAGUUCAACAACACGUUUGAUAUGUUCCCGUCUAUCAAAUUACCUUGUAAUUGGACUUUAGUCAUCCUUGAUACAAAAUUCCAGAAUUUGUUUGGAGCCUCAAAUGAUGAUUCCCAAAUAGUUAACCUUUCAAUAGAUCGUUGAGUAUAUAACCACGCAGGAAGGUUGGGAUUUGAAAACCCGAUAACUAAUUCUUCAAGUUGAAAGGGUGGAAUCCAAUGGGAGUCAAAAUCAAAGAUUAACGAUGAAUAUGAGUAUAUAUCCAGUUCCUUUAAUUUUGACAAUUUAGCAAAAUUUCUCUCGGACACAACUCCUGUCAAUGGAUUUGAGGCAAUAUCCAAGGUAAUUAAGGAAGAUAGAUUUCCCAAAUUUGUGGGAAUAGAUCCAGAAAAAUUGUUUACUCCAAGAAUAAGAUGUUUUAAAUGUUCGAAUUCACCUAACCAAUCUGGAAUGGGUCCAUCAAAGUUAUUGUCUUCCAAGACCAAGUCUUCCAAAUCUCGAUGAUUUAACAAUGCCUUAGGUAGAUGUCCUAUUAAAGAACUUGAGCUAAGGUCUAAAUCAUAGAUAUUGGAACUAAGAUUGAAUAGCCACUUAGGUAACUCUGAGUCAAAUUCAUUUGCAGAAAGAUAAAGAACUUCGAGUGCAGUAAAAUUAGCAUAGUUAAGAGACAAACUCAAGUCUUUAAGUUGACAAGCACGCAUAUUGAGGGAUGAAAGUGAUGGAAGCAUAGUCACUAAUUGAAGCCAAUUAGUUUCUUUGCUAAGAUCAAUAUCACGGAGGUUGAGAUAUUCCAGGGAGGAAAUAUAGGGAAGCCACUGAAGGUUGCUGAUGGCAAGAUUCCAGUUAAGUGAUAAAUCAAGAUGACCAAGAGUUGAAGAGUUGACACACUGACGAGGAGAAGUAAGUAUGGAUAGAUUAUGAGAAUUAUGAUUAUGCACAUAAUCAAAUUGUAAUGCUAAGAAGUCAU